GGAUUGUGGCUCAGCCGUAGAGUGCUCGCCUAGCACGUGCAAGGCGCUGGGUUCAAACCUCAGCACCA
rnacentral:tRNA from 1 species